rnacentral:rRNA from 1 species
GGCUCAGGAUGAACGCUGGCGGUAUGCUUAACACAUGCAAGUCGAACGGUCUCUUCGGAGAUAGUGGCGGACGGGUGAGUAACGCGUGAGAAUCUAGCUUCAGGUCGGGGACAACCACUGGAAACGGUGGCUAAUACCGGAUGUGCCGAGAGGUAAAAGGCUUGCUGCCUGAAGAUGAGCUCGCGUCUGAUUAGCUAGUAGGUGUGGUAAGAGCGCACCUAGGCGACGAUCAGUAGCUGGUCUGAGAGGAUGAUCAGCCACACUGGGACUGAGACACGGCCCAGACUCCUACGGGAGGCAGCAGUGGGGAAUUUUCCGCAAUGGGCGAAAGCCUGACGGAGCAAUACCGCGUGAGGGAGGAAGGCUCUUGGGUUGUAAACCUCUUUUCUCAGGGAAGAAAAAAAUGACGGUACCUGAGGAAUAAGCAUCGGCUAACUCCGUGCCAGCAGCCGCGGUAAUACGGAGGAUGCAAGCGUUAUCCGGAAUGAUUGGGCGUAAAGCGUCCGCAGGUGGCAAUGUAAGUCUGCUGUUAAAGAGUGAGGCUCAACCUCAUAAGAGCAGUGGAAACUACAUAGCUAGAGUGCGUUCGGGGCAAAGGGAAUUCCUGGUGUAGCGGUGAAAUGCGUAGAGAUCAGGAAGAACACCGGUGGCGAAAGCGCUUUGCUAGGCCGCAACUGACACUGAGGGACGAAAGCUAGGGGAGCGAAUGGGAUUAGAUACCCCAGUAGUCCUAGCCGUAAACGAUGGAUACUAGGCGUGGCUUGUAUCGACCCGAGCCGUGCCGUAGCUAACGCGUUAAGUAUCCCGCCUGGGGAGUACGCACGCAAGUGUGAAACUC